rnacentral:lncRNA from 1 species
UACCUAGGCUGGUUCUCUAAGCCUCUUGAACCGCUCUGCACCGCAGGUCACGGGCAUGCAUUCGCCACCCACCGAACACCAGCUUAAGACGGGCACGCGCGCUUUAUGCUGAAAGCAGAGUCUGAGCACCGAUGAAGCUUAGCUCUUUCAGGAAAGUUAUUUUAAAAGACUUUUCAGGGGAAAAUGAGUAUACAAUUUAAGAGGAGGAAAGAAAAACUGCAUGUAUUGUGUUGGAUUUAUUUCAAACUCCAAAGUUAUGUCUCACCUGCUGCAAACUCAACCUGAAAACUGAAAAUUCAAGCUGUGUGCCUUCUGUCUCUCACAAAUUAUAAAGCAAAAUUUGUAAUCUGUACACAAAAUGCUGCGCUGGACAUGAAUUUAUAAGGAGAAAGUAAUUCACUAUUUCUAAGUGUUUGUUUUGGUUGUUAAUAAAAUGAUACUUAUAAACUAGGUAAAAGCACAGAGGAAGUUGAAGCUGAGUUGGUUGGGUAAAGAAAGAUUGAGACACAUAUUCAGUGUUUCCCAAUGAAGAUGACAUAAUCUGUAUCAUUGGUCCCUUUCUCAGCACCUCCCACACUCUCCAUUCCCAUUGUUACUUUUUGCUAAUAUUUUUUUCCAACCAGUUUUGUCAAUAGGGCCUCCAAGCAUCAAGCAACAGGAAUAUUGUAGGUGAUUCUAUUGAUGCUUAUGACUUAAGUUAUAUUUAUUAUGCAGUUUUGAAAAAAUACAAAUAAAAUGUGUAGGGUUUUUUGUUUGUUUUUUUACUAUUUCAAGGGUUACUAUCAUGUGUCAUAGUAAAGUACAAAAGUAGUUACGAAACACUUUCAGAAUGAAUCUAAAAUCUCAAGCUUGGUCAUAGUACAGUUAGCAUAAAGUGAUACUUGCCAGAGAAUAUAGAAACUUUCCAAAGCUUCCAUCCACUAGAAGGGUAGCACCAAGCUCAAAUAUUAGCACUGGUGUAUUGGUUAGGCCAAUUCUCCAGACAAUGGCAAAAAUAGUCUGAGUGCAAUCUCCUUUAAAUUAUGUUAAAUUCUUGAAUUCCUUUUUGAGCUCUUAAAUAAACUUAAAUACUUAAAACCUUAUUUUUUUUUACUUAAAAC